rnacentral:rRNA from 1 species
CCUACGGGAGGCAGCAGUAGGGAAUAUUGCUCAAUGGGGGAAACCCUGAAGCAGCAACGCCGCGUGGAGGAUGAAGGUUUUCGGAUUGUAAACUCCUUUUGUUAGAGAAGAUAAUGACGGUAUCUAACGAAUAAGCACCGGCUAACUCCGUGCCAGCAGCCGCGGUAAUACGGAGGGUGCAAGCGUUACUCGGAAUCACUGGGCGUAAAGAGCGCGUAGGCGGGAUAGCAAGUCAGGUGUUAAAUCCUAUGGCUUAACCAUAGAACUGCAUUUGAAACUGUUAUUCUAGAGUAUGGGAGAGGUAGGUGGAAUGCGUGGUGUAGGGGUAAAAUCCGUAGAGAUCAAGAGGAAUACUCAUUGCGAAGGCGACCUGCUGGAACAUAACUGACGCUGAUGCGCGAAAGCGUGGGGAGCAAACAGGAUUAGAUACCCUAGUAGUC